UUUUUUCUUUUCCUUCUUACAUCCUUCAUUAUAACAUAAUAUUUCUUUGUUUGUUUUAAUUAAUCAACUUAGCGCCCAUCUAUCUCCAAGUUUUUUGAAAAAGGAUUUCUCUAGUGGGUGCCAGAACCUUCGUUUGCGACGUCCAAGAAAGGAAGAGAGCUACAAUUUUUUGAGCAACAGAUCUAGGGGUGUGGCAUGGAAAUCAAAGAUUCUUUUGUUUCUCUCCUUCCAUAUGCACCACA
rnacentral:lncRNA from 1 species